rnacentral:lncRNA from 1 species
GUGCAGUGGCCUGCUGACCCGGAAGCUGAUCUGAGGGAUCACUGGGACUGAGGUGAGUCUGCGUUUAUCUGGUUGAAACCUGCGCGUUGCGCCCCCACCUCUUCUUUCCAGCGAGUGGGUCGCAGUGUUCACUCGUAGGUGAAAGCUUCUGAGCCUGUUCUCCCUCUCGCUGUGAGGACAUCCCGGUCCCGCAUCGCCCUGAGCUUCCCGGAGUCUGGCGCGUGGCGAGCCGCGGCGACCUGUCCCAGGAGUCCUAGAACCCUGGAUCCCUGUAUCACCUCGAUUCUGCUGAGACAUCAACAGGAACCUUUACCUUCAUAGUCCCCAUGUGAUUUCCUGGGCUCUGCAAAUGACUCCCUCUGUAGUCCUCAGUAUCUCAGGCUCCCCACUGCUGCUUAGUGCAGGGGAUUCACCAGGAGGACAGUGUACUCCAAAGAAGUGUGGAGAAAGUCUCUGCUUGGACUUCCUGAAGGAGUUUCAUAUCUCUGGAUCACCAUCUCACUGCAGUGGGCAGCAGCGGACCCACCUUUCCACACUGAUUAACCUUUAAAUAUUCCUGUUACAUAAGGCGGAAGUCUGGAAGAGAAGAAAAAAGAAAGAAAAAGAGUCAGAAAUGGCUGUUAUUCAGGUAAAGCAGUGUUCACAUUUGUUUUCUGUCUUGUAAAGGUGGUUUUUGCUGUAUUGUUAUUAAAUCCUUGUUUCUGUGAGAUAGGGAACACCUGGAGCUUCUUGCUCAACUACAACUAUGCAUCAGUCCUUCGGAACAGUUAUGUAAUUUCUUUUCAUGGAUCAGGCAGUGUCUUUUGCUUAAGUGACCUGGUAUAAUUGCUAAUGGAGAUGUAAGAUGUUUCAUAUGUAAAUGUGCAUGUAUGCUUAAUGAGAGCCACUAAGGGAGGAAGGU